UUUGGUUGAGGGUCCACAGCCUAUGGAAGUAUCACAAGUGGAGCCAGCUAGCACUGUGGAGAACCAGCCAGUGGAGGAUCCUCCUUCCAUGAAAUUCGCUUGGACGAUAGAGAAUUUCUCUAGGUUGAACGCUAAGAAGCACUAUUCUGAUAUAUUCAUCAUUGGCAGUUACAAAUGGCGGAUACUAAUUUUUCCCAAGGGAAACAAUGUGGACCACU
rnacentral:misc_RNA from 1 species